AGCAACCACCUGAGGUGACCUCUGGGGUCUCCGCUCCUUAUAGGGUCUAAUCCCAGAGGUUACCUCUCUGUGGUUAGGCUUUUUUUUUAAGCUUAACAAGAAACUUAUGAGGCAAGUUAUGCAUGCCAAUUCUAUAAAACUAACUCCCCAAAAAAGCCACCCAAAAAUUAAGAUAAAUAGAACUGAGAAAUAUUUCUUCCAUUUUGGAGACUUACUUAAAUGGAAGAAAAUACCGAGCCUUGUGAAAAUAAUCACUGACACUAAAAGAUCCACUUAUGUUAAAAUAAAAGGAAGUACUUUAAGUCUUCUGAGGGUAAUUAUUGGCAGCUAAAACUCCUUCAGACAUGCUUCAUGUUUGAUACAUGGGUUAUUUUUUACGUAUUCAAUAUGUAUGAUGAAAUUAUUAAUCAUCAGGAGCAGUGGGUUUUGGGUAAUUAGGUACCUUAAAUUUCAAGCUGUUUGUUCUUCAAAUGUUCAAUGACUUAUUAUGAGCUCAAGGAAGAGUCAUAUUAACAGGGUGGUGUGCAUAAUUUACACACAAACUAAAUUAAAGAAAAAAUUCGCUCCAUGAAUUAUUCACAACCACGGAAUUCAUUCGAGCAUAUUGUCGAGCACAUGGUGGGCAGAACGCUUGACAUUGCGACAGAACAGAACCGAACUCCAAACAGAGAAAUUAAGCAUAAUUGCAUAAUUGACAAUAGGAGGAAGAUGACAUACCUGAGUUUCUGGAAGUUGUUGCACAUGGUAGAACAUGCACCAGAUAGAGCAUGUAUGGACAUACAUAUAAUGAGCUAUUACCGUUUGAGGAAGACAACAAACCACACUGUCUCACCUCCUUGGAACUCACAGGUCAAGCAUAACAGUCAUAAGAAGAAACUUCUAGCUCUUCAAGGUGCAAGUGUUUUGUUUUGUUUAGUUUUUUUUUUUUGUUCCUAUGUUGACACUUCAACCAGCUAAUAUAUUAUAUAUAUAUAUAUAUAUAUAUAUAUGCUGGGCAUGGUAGGAAACAUGGCAAAUAAGAGAAUUUGAUGUGUUAGAUUCAAAGUGACCUGCUUACUUUCAUUCUUUUAUAUAUAGGUUAUAGAUAAGGAUAUAUUGAUUAGGCACACCAACUAUUCGACAAUAUGCCUGAAUAUACACACUAAAAUAUUAGAGGACUUCCCUAAUUGAAAACUUACUAACAUAAUCAUAUAUAUAUAUAUAUAUUCAAGCUUGCAAUAAAACCCCAUCUAUGCUCAACAAUGCAAAAUAAAUGCAAUCAAUGAGAGCCAUUGUUGUGAGCAACAAAUGAGCAUAACCUGUGUACUCACAAAACAACCCAUCAAAAAUGGGUGAAUACUCAUAAAAGUUAGAGAACUUAUAUUCAUAAACUAUACUAAUGAUGCUAAAGACUUCUAUCUCCACUAACAAAAUUGAUGGAUUUCUAGCUUUAAAGACAUUACAUUAAAAUUCAAAAACAAGCAUUGAAAACUUAAGUAUUUUUAGAUGCAAAAGUAUUUCAUUGUGAUUCUUUAUUUCAUGGAGUUACUUUUUGGUUUCCUUCAACUUGAUUUGGGUUAUAAACCACAGGCAGAAAUGGUGUCCCUCCCAAUUGUGUUAUUCAGUUUGAAGUGGAUCUCAUCUCAAGGAUCCUAGAUGUUGGCAAGGAUGGUGGAAUUUUGGGAGAUUUUAUUUACCCCCCCC